GUCGUUUACAAAACUUGUUUGUCAUUUUGGUCUGCAGGAUCCAUAUUAAAUAUUCGAAAUGGCUAUUCGUAUUGGAGUAUGACACCCGAUUCUUACAUUUCGUAAAGUAAUAUAAAAUAAUUUUUUGGAACAGCUUUCAGCGAGCUUACCGCUAGCGUAUUCGGCAAAGGCGUUGCGUGCUUGCAUAGUGAAACGAGGUCCGGUCCAGUUUUGUUUUAGCAGUCGGUUUUCUGUUUGACUUAGAAAUUUUUCUUAAAAUAUUUUAAAAUUUCCCCCCGACUUUUUUAACUCUCAAAUAGUUUAUUAGACAUUUAUUGGUUAGGG